GAGGAACCUCAUACUGAAUCCUAAUCAGCGAAAGUUUGUCCGAAGUUAGAGAGCUGGGAAUGGUGUCUGGUACAAAGACCGGAUGAGAUUCGUCUAUAGAACUAGGAUUUUGUGGGACUGAAACGGACGAACUCCUAGAACUGCUAGAGGAGGAAGUGUUGGAGGACAUUAUGAAUCAAGCAAAAACCCUAAAAAAUCUCGAAAAAAUUGGGAAAAAUAAAAAACAAGGCGCUCGCAGAGAAACUGAACGGGCGUAAUGAGAAGGAGAAAAAAAUG
rnacentral:lncRNA from 1 species